CAUGCCGUAAACGUUGGGCGCUAGGUGUGGGGACCUUCCACGGUCUCCGUGCCGCAGCUAACGCAUUAAGCGCCCCGCCUGGGGAGUACGGCCGCAAGGCUAAAACCCAAAGGAAUUGACGGGGGCCCGCACAAGCGGCGGAGCAUGCUGAUUAAUUCGAUGCAACGCGAAGAACCUUACCUAGGUUUGACAUAUAGCGAAAACUUAUAGAGAUAUAAGGUCCUUUUGGGCGCUAUACAGGUGGUGCAUGGCUGUCGUCAGCUCGUGUCGUGAGAUGUUGGGUUAAGUCCCGCAACGAGCGCAACCCUCGUCCUAUGUUGCCAGCACGUAAUGGUGGGGACUCAUAGGAGACUGCCGGGGUCAACUCGGAGGAAGGUGGGGAUGACGUCAAGUCUUCAUGCCCCUUAUGCCUAGGGCUUCAAGCAUGCUACAAUGGCUGGUACAAAGGGCUGCGAAACAGCAAUGUGGAGCGAAUCCCAAAAAGCCAGUCUCAGUUCGGAUUGGGGUCUGCAACUCGACCCCAUGAAGUCGGAGUCGCUAGUAAUCGCAGAUCAGCAACGCUGCGGUGAAUACGUUCCCGGGCCUUGCACUCACCGCCGUACGGACCAGAUCGAU
rnacentral:rRNA from 1 species